ACCGGCCUCUGUGGGGUCACAGCCUUCUGGGUGCACAAGCAGAGGGCACUUAUUAUGAAGAAAAAGGCACACUUCCUAAUGACAGCAACCCCAUGCCAGAACAUGUGACUUUGUUGUCAGAGCACUGGAGAGACAGCCCAGUCAGGUCACCACACUGCCCAGGAAACGGAAGCACACCUGAGAAGAUGUCCCCAUCCCUCCACCUGAGGCUUGUGUCGCAGAUGCAGCCAUAG
rnacentral:lncRNA from 1 species